rnacentral:rRNA from 1 species
AAAUUGACGGGGACCCGCACAAGCGGUGGAUGAUGUGGAUUAAUUCGAUGCAACGCGAAGAACCUUACUACCCUUGACAUGUCCGGAACUUGCCAGAGAUGGCUUGGUGCCCGAAAGGGAAUCGGAACACAGGUGCUGCAUGGCUGUCGUCAGCUCGUGUCGUGAGAUGUUGGGUUAAGUCCCGCAACGAGCGCAACCCUUGUCACUAGUUGCCAUCAUUUGGUUGGGCACUCUAAUGAGACUGCCGGUGACAAACCGGAGGAAGGUGGGGAUGACGUCAAGUCCUCAUGGCCCUUAUGGGUAGGGCUUCACACGUCAUACAAUGGUCGGUACAGAGGGUUGCCAACCCGCGAGGGGGAGCCAAUCCCAUAAAGCCAGUCGUAGUCCGGAUCGCAGUCUGCAACUCGACUGCGUGAAGUCGGAAUCGCUAGUAAUCGUGGAUCAGCAUGUCACGGUGAAUACGUUCCCGGGUCUU